rnacentral:rRNA from 1 species
UACGAAGGGUGCAAACGUUGCUCGGAAUUACUGGGCGUAAAGCGCACGUAGUCGGCUUUGCAAGUCGGGUGUGAAAUCCCCGGGCUCAACCUGGGAACUGCAUCCGAGACUGCAUUGCUAGAGUAUGGGAGAGGGAAGCGGAAUUUCUGGUGUAGCAGUGAAAUGCGUAGAUAUCAGAAGGAACAUCAGUGGCGAAGGCGGCUUCCUGGACCAAUACUGACGAUCAGGUGCGAAAGCGUGGGGAGCAAACAGG